GAUUUCUGACAUAUCUGCCAUGUGACACAGAAGUUGCUGAAACAUAUUGAAAUCAUCAGUUUGAACAGAAGGGGCACUAUUGCCUUGUCUGGUGAAGAAAAGGAGGGUACUUCUCCGAUUGCAGUGACUCAUCACCACAUCAUGAUGCAGCACUACAUUACUCCACAAUGUAAUGGUAUCCACCAAAACUGCAUAAUACACCCCUCUUCUAAGACUUUUGCUGAAAGAUUCAGGUGAGACACUUAAAAUCUGUUAAGAAGCAUCACCACGUUGCCUUUGUCCUCAAAAAUUCACUUCACAAUGUAGUUCAAAAUUGCUAAAUUUGUUUCUUCAAAUAUUCAUGGACUUGCUCCAGUCUUCUUGGUCUUGUUUAGACUAGAAUUGCUGGUUGUGCUGUAACUUGAAUUAAUUGAUUGCCAAUUAAUACUACCAUAUAUAUUUGAGAGACAUUUGUUCCUGGUCAUGGUUAGAGUCCUGCAUGGAUACAAAAUUUGUAUCCACAGCCGAUCAGCAAUCCGCAAACAUAGUCCACGGAUAUCUGCUGAUUUGCAGGGAUCUAGUCAUGGUUUACCUGAGGUCUCAGUGUAAUAUACCUAAUUAAAUCAUACUGGUGUAAACCAUGCUUUACUUGUGUGUAGCAUAACUAUGUUAAGGGUUUGCACAUUGAUGUAGCUCAGCAGUUCUCAACCAGGGGUCCAAGCCCCCAUGGGGGGGCCGCGAGCAGGUUUCAGGAGGUCUGCCAAGCAGGGUCGGCAUUAGAUUUGCUGGAGCCCAGGGCGGAAAGUUCAAGCCCCGCCAUGUGGGACAGACGCCCAAGGCCCCAAGCCCCACCACCCAGCACUGAAGCCGAAGCCUGAGCAACUUAGCUUUGCAGGGCCCCCUGUGGCAUGGGGACCUGGGAGGCAAUUGCCCUGCUUGCCCCCCCAA